AAGAUUGUUGUUUGAUCCCCAGGUAUUAUAUCUUAAUAUGGUGUCUUUGUUUAGUGUUAUGUAGAGAUUCACGGACUGGAUUUAUCGAGACUUUACAAGGUCCAACUCCAAGUUGGAUUUCAUGGCAAUUGCAACUUUAGGAGUAGAUUCAGUUGUUAUUGAAAGAACAAAGGAGCUGGAGUGAACUUUCGUGCAUUUAGCAGAGAUAUUUAGUUGGAAUUUAUUGGAUAUUGACUUAAAAUCUGUGGUUUUAGCUUAGCAUCAGUCGCAAUUCAAAACAGAACAUAACAUGUUGUCUAUCAAAUAAAUCUUCCGAUGUUGCAUACUCAGGUCUUGAAUCUUAGGAUCUUCUGUUUAUCAAGGUUCUACUAAAAUUCAAUAAUGAAAAGGACAAAAAGAACUAUCAAAAGAAACUUGAAUGAAGUUCAUGAUCUCUGAAUCUCCACCUCUAAAGCUCUGCUGAAACCAUACUGCUAUCAGACUGACUAGUGGUUUAUUUGGUGUGCUUUGUUAGACAAACUUGUGAUCUGUUUUUGAAUUGUGUACCAUGGGAUUCCAGUCAUAAAUUCCUGUAUUAAUUUUGCAACAGAGAGAAAACUAUUGAUCCUGAGACUGAUGUAUUAUACGUCAUCAAAUACUUUUGCAGGUGGGGGCAAUCGCACUCUUGGCUUUGACAGGACUAUUAACUUUCAUGCUAUUCUUGUCUGUGGCCACAGCAAAUGCAGUUAUAAUAUCGCUCUUCGUGUCUUUCGCAGCAGCUGGUGGCUUCUUAGCAAUUUUCUUUGCGUGUGUAACUGCAAUUUACAUUGCAGUUCUAUCCAUUGCUGCAUUCGUGAUUUCCACUGUUACUCUGGUGACCAUAUUUGCAGUAUUUGUUGCCACAGGUAUAUAGCUUUUUAGUUGACAACAUCUCUCUCUCUCUCUCU
rnacentral:lncRNA from 1 species